GAUGAACGCUGGCGGCGUGCCUAAUACAUGCAAGUCGAGCGAACGGACGAGAAGCUUGCUUUUCUGAUGUUAGCGGCGGACGGGUGAGUAACACGUGGAUAACCUACCUAUAAGACUGGGAUAACUUCGGGAAACCGGAGCUAAUACCGGAUAAUAUUUUGAACCGCAUGGUUCAAAAGUGAAAGACGGUCUUGCUGUCACUUAUAGAUGGAUCCGCGCUGCAUUAGCUAGUUGGUAAGGUAACGGCUUACCAAGGCAACGAUGCAUAGCCGACCUGAGAGGGUGAUCGGCCACACUGGAACUGAGACACGGUCCAGACUCCUACGGGAGGCAGCAGUAGGGAAUCUUCCGCAAUGGGCGAAAGCCUGACGGAGCAACGCCGCGUGAGUGAGGAAGGUCUUCGGAUCGUAAAACUCUGUUAUUGGGGAAGAACAUAUGUGUAAGUAACUGUGCACAUCUUGACGGUACCUAAUCAGAAAACCACGGCUAACUACGU
rnacentral:rRNA from 1 species